rnacentral:lncRNA from 1 species
GUUCAUUCUUCUCUGGGGCUAGCCUGAUACAAUUUGCUCUUCUCACAUGCUUGGGGUCGUUUCAGGUGAUGUGUUUAAGAUGAUUCAACAAUGGAUCUUGACCACAACUUCUGGGGCUGAGAAGGACAACAUACAGCUCACACAGAAAAUGAUUGAUCUCCACAAAGACCUGACCAUGUGGAUAGUGAAUUUCCUGACUUUGAUGGUACCUGACCACUCCUCCAAUAAGGGUCUCCUAGAGAAUGAGUCAGAAGCUGCUAAGGAUCAAGAGCUCAAGAGGCUAAGGGGCUAUAAAUUAGAGGAAGAAGCUAUGAACCUGGUUCCCAAACUGAGCAGAUUCUCCAGCUACGUAAUGAGGUAUUAAUAAAGCCUUGGGACCUCACCUGCCUAUGGGAUUUUCCCAUUAGAAAAAAAUCCUUAGUGUGAUGGGAAAGCCCUCUGAAGAGAGGUAUGAUCUCCCCAAAAGUGGGUGGGAUCAUAAAAAUGCAACUUUAAUGCUGUGUGGCACUCAGAAGGAAACAUUUCAAGUAUAAGUUAAUGAUAACAUUAGCUGGAACGACUUGUGUUGUUCAGCACCCACAGCUAUGUAAUCACUGAGGGCUUGACUGGCUAUGAGCAUUGUUCGGAUCUCUUAGACAUAUCAGAGAUUCACGUGGUAAACGUCAUGCUGAAGAAAAUGAUUGGGGAAUCCUGGAGGAGUUUGAGUUUAUAAAGCAAGCAGUGGGUCCCCUGGCUAUAAUGUUGGCAUCUACAGAAUCGUGCUCUAAUGUGGUGCAUGUUUUAUAAAGGAAAACAGACAAGAGCCCAAUCCUCUGGGAUUCCACUGUCUGUUGUGCCAGUAAUGCUGUGUGGUAACAGUCCC